GGUCAAGUGAAGAAGCGCAUACGGUGGAUGCCUUGGCAGUCAGAGGCGAUGAAAGACGUGGUAGCCUGCGAAAAGCUUCGGGGAGUCGGCAAACAGACUUUGAUCCGGAGAUCUCUGAAUGGGGGAACCCACCUAGGAUAACCUAGGUAUCUUGUACUGAAUCCAUAGGUGCAAGAGGCGAACCAGGGGAACUGAAACAUCUAAGUACCCUGAGGAAAAGAAAUCAACCGAGAUUCCCUUAGUAGUGGCGAGCGAACGGGGAUUAGCCCUUAAGCUUCAUUGAUUUUAGCGGAACGCUCUGGAAAGUGCGGCCAUAGUGGGUGAUAGCCCCGUACGCGAAAGGAUCUUUGAAGUGAAAUCGAGUAGGACGGAGCACGAGAAACUUUGUCUGAACAUGGGGGGACCAUCCUCCAAGGCUAAAUACUACUGACUGACCGAUAGUGAACCAGUACCGUGAGGGAAAGGCGAAAAGAACCCCGGAGAGGGGAGUGAAAUAGAACCUGAAACCGUAUGCGUACAAGCAGUGGGAGCCUACUUGUUAGGUGACUGCGUACCUUUUGUAUAAUGGGUCAGCGACUUAUAUUCAGUGGCGAGCUUAACCGUAUAGGGUAGGCGUAGCGAAAGCGAGUCUUAAUAGGGCGUUUAGUCGCUGGGUAUAGACCCGAAACCGGGCGAUCUAUCCAUGAGCAGGUUGAAGGUUAGGUAACACUGACUGGAGGACCGAACCCACUCCCGUUGAAAAGGUAGGGGAUGACUUGUGGAUCGGAGUGAAAGGCUAAUCAAGCUCGGAGAUAGCUGGUUCUCCUCGAAAGCUAUUUAGGUAGCGCCUCAUGUAUCACUCUGGGGGGUAGAGCACUGUUUCGGCUAGGGGGUCAUCCCGACUUACCAAACCGAUGCAAACUCCGAAUACCCAGAAGUGCCGAGCAUGGGAGACACACGGCGGGUGCUAACGUCCGUCGUGAAAAGGGAAACAACCCAGACCGCCAGCUAAGGUCCCAAAGUUGUGGUUAAGUGGUAAACGAUGUGGGAAGGCUUAGACAGCUAGGAGGUUGGCUUAGAAGCAGCCAUCCUUUAAAGAAAGCGUAAUAGCUCACUAGUCGAGUCGGCCUGCGCGGAAGAUGUAACGGGGCUCAAACCACACACCGAAGCUGCGGGUGUCACGUAAGUGACGCGGUAGAGGAGCGUUCUGUAAGCCUGUGAAGGUGAGUUGAGAAGCUUGCUGGAGGUAUCAGAAGUGCGAAUGCUGACAUGAGUAACGACAAUGGGUGUGAAAAACAUCCACGCCGAAAGACCAAGGGUUCCUGCGCAACGUUAAUCGACGCAGGGUUAGUCGGUUCCUAAGGCGAGGCUGAAAAGCGUAGUCGAUGGGAAACAGGUUAAUAUUCCUGUACUUCUGGUUACUGCGAUGGAGGGACGGAGAAGGCUAGGCCAGCUUGGCGUUGGUUGUCCAAGUUUAAGGUGGUAGGCUGAAAUCUUAGGUAAAUCCGGGGUUUCAAGGCCGAGAGCUGAUGACGAGUCGUCUUUUAGAUGACGAAGUGGUUGAUGCCAUGCUUCCAAGAAAAGCUUCUAAGCUUCAGGUAACCAGGAACCGUACCCCAAACCGACACAGGUGGUCGGGUAGAGAAUACCAAGGCGCUUGAGAGAACUCGGGUGAAGGAACUAGGCAAAAUGGCACCGUAACUUCGGGAGAAGGUGCGCCGGCUAGGGUGAAGGAUUUACUCCGUAAGCUCUGGCUGGUCGAAGAUACCAGGCCGCUGCGACUGUUUAUUAAAAACACAGCACUCUGCAAACACGAAAGUGGACGUAUAGGGUGUGACGCCUGCCCGGUGCCGGAAGGUUAAUUGAUGGGGUUAGCGCAAGCGAAGCUCUUGAUCGAAGCCCCGGUAAACGGCGGCCGUAACUAUAACGGUCCUAAGGUAGCGAAAUUCCUUGUCGGGUAAGUUCCGACCUGCACGAAUGGCGUAACGAUGGCGGCGCUGUCUCCACCCGAGACUCAGUGAAAUUGAAAUCGCUGUGAAGAUGCAGUGUAUCCGCGGCUAGACGGAAAGACCCCGUGAACCUUUACUGUAGCUUUGCACUGGACUUUGAGCCUGCUUGUGUAGGAUAGGUGGGAGGCUUUGAAGCGUGGACGCCAGUUCGCGUGGAGCCAUCCUUGAAAUACCACCCUGGCAUGCUUGAGGUUCUAACUCUGGUCCGUAAUCCGGAUCGAGGACAGUGUAUGGUGGGCAGUUUGACUGGGGCGGUCUCCUCCUAAAGAGUAACGGAGGAGUACGAAGGUGCGCUCAGACCGGUCGGAAAUCGGUCGCAGAGUAUAAAGGCAAAAGCGCGCUUGACUGCGAGACAGACACGUCGAGCAGGUACGAAAGUAGGUCUUAGUGAUCCGGUGGUUCUGUAUGGAAGGGCCAUCGCUCAACGGAUAAAAGGUACUCCGGGGAUAACAGGCUGAUACCGCCCAAGAGUUCAUAUCGACGGCGGUGUUUGGCACCUCGAUGUCGGCUCAUCACAUCCUGGGGCUGAAGCCGGUCCCAAGGGUAUGGCUGUUCGCCAUUUAAAGUGGUACGCGAGCUGGGUUUAGAACGUCGUGAGACAGUUCGGUCCCUAUCUGCCGUGGACGUUUGAGAUUUGAGAGGGGCUGCUCCUAGUACGAGAGGACCGGAGUGGACGAACCUCUGGUGUUCCGGUUGUCACGCCAGUGGCAUUGCCGGGUAGCUAUGUUCGGAAAAGAUAACCGCUGAAAGCAUCUAAGCGGGAAACUUGCCUCAAGAUGAGAUCUCACUGGGAACUUGAUUCCCCUGAAGGGCCGUCGAAGACUACGACGUUGAUAGGCUGGGUGUGUAAGCGUUGUGAGGCGUUGAGCUAACCAGUACUAAUUGCCCGUGAGGCUUGACCAU
rnacentral:rRNA from 1 species